GGCCGAGAGAGCUCAACGCGCUGCAAAUGAGAAAACACAUGCAAAUAGAAAAAAAUACAUGCAAAUAGAAAACAACGCCAGCGAAUUAAGAAAACAUCUUCAUCUAUUUUACAAAACACGUGUGCUCCAAAGACUCACAACACAACCAAAUACGGAACGCGCUGCAACUACGGAAACGCGCUGCAACUACGGAAACGCGCUGCAAGAGUUCACAACACAACGGAAAUGAUUCCAGGGGACCCCAAAAAGUGACGAACCCGGCUGGCUGGGACAUGCUUAGACCUUAAUAAGACCUCAUCAGUGGUGUUGUCGUCUGUCCAUGACCUGAAAAGUUAUGUAUUGUCCAUAUUGUGGACUUGAAUUGGUUGGAUAUAUUGGAUGCUUUUGUGGUUCCUGUGGUAGCAACAUUAGAUUUCUGGCACCUUUUCUACAGAAUGGCCCAGAAACAGUGUCAGCCGAACUCACAGAGGCAGACCUUAUCCAUAAAUAUUUCUCAGAGGGCCACACAUAUGAAUUGAUCCUUGAUUUUCUUGGAACAAAGCAUAAUAUUUUCCUGAGUCUGAGCACCUUAAAGAGAAGGCUUAGGAAUGCAGGCCUAACAAGGAGGACAGAGUAUACUCCCA